rnacentral:rRNA from 1 species
GAACUGAAGAGUUUGAUCCUGGCUCAGAUUGAACGCUGGCGGAAUGCUUUACACAUGCAAGUCGAACGGCAGCACGGACUUCGGUCUGGUGGCGAGUGGCGAACGGGUGAGUAACGCAUCG